GACGUAGGGCGCGAGCGUUGUCCGGAUUUAUUGGGCGUAAAGAGCUCGUAGGCGGCUUGUUGCGUCGACCGUGAAAACCCGUGGCUCAACUACGGGCUUGCGGUCGAUACGGGCGGGCUGGAGUUCGGUAGGGGAGACUGGAAUUCCUGGUGUAGCGGUGAAAUGCGCAGAUAUCAGGAGGAACACCGAUGGCGUAGGCAGGUCUCUGGGCCGAUACUGACGCUGAGGAGCGAAAGCGUGGGGAGCGAACAGG
rnacentral:rRNA from 1 species